rnacentral:siRNA from 1 species
GAUGUCAAAAGGAUAUUCUGAUGG